rnacentral:rRNA from 1 species
CACGAAGGGGGCUAGCGUUGCUCGGAAUUACUGGGCGUAAAGCGCACGUAGGCGGCUCUUUAAGUCGGGGGUGAAAUCCUGGAGCUCAACUCCAGAACUGCCUUCGAUACUGGAGAGCUCGAGUCCGGGAGAGGUGAGUGGAACUGCGAGUGUAGAGGUGAAAUUCGUAGAUAUUCGCAAGAACACCAGUGGCGAAGGCGGCUCACUGGCCCGGUACUGACGCUGAGGUGCGAAAGCGUGGGGAGCAAACAGG